UACAGAGGGUGCGAGCGUUAAUCGGAAUUACUGGGCGUAAAGCGUGCGUAGACGGUAGCGUAAGUCAGAUGUGAAAGCCCCGGGCUCAACCUGGGAACUGCAUUUGAGACUGCUCUGCUCGGGUGCGGAAGAGGGAAGCGGAAUUUCCGGUGUAGCGGUGAAAUGCGUAGAUAUCGGAAGGAACACCCGUGGCGAAGGCGGCUCUCUGGGACGGUACUGACGCUGAGACGCGAAAGCGUGGGGAGCGAACAGG
rnacentral:rRNA from 1 species